rnacentral:rRNA from 1 species
GAGUUUGAUCGUGGCUCAGGAUGAACGCUGGCGGCGUGCUUAACACAUGCAAGUCGAACGGGAAACCUUUUAUUGAAGCUUCGGCAGAUUUAGCUGGUUUCUAGUGGCGGACGGGUGAGUAACGCGUGGGUAACCUGCCUUAUACAGGGGGAUAACAACCAGAAAUGGUUGCUAAUACCGCAUAAGCGCACAGGACCGCAUGGUCCGGUGUGAAAAACUCCGGUGGUAUAAGAUGGACCCGCGUUGGAUUAGCUAGUUGGCA